UGCUGGGGGAGCGAGAGCUGAGAGUGCCGCGGACGCGGCUGACCCUGAUGACCUGAUCCGGAUAAUGCCGGCGAAGGGAAGCUGAG
rnacentral:ncRNA from 1 species